CCCCUUCCCACCCCCCCCCCCCCCCCCCCCCCCCCCCUCCCGCCUCGAAUUAGUACUAUUAUUUAUUUAUUUAUUUUUCUUUCGGGGAGGUUCGGUUGGAGGGAAGUUUUGCGCCGCAGACGGGGCCGGGGCUGCUGCGGGCUGGAUGGGGAGGGCGGCACGUUGCGGGGGGGCGCGGGCAGUGCGGGACCCCGCCGGGGGUGGGGGGGGACCGGGCGGGGACCUGCCGCCGCUGCCGGCUCUUUGUCUGCUCGGGCAACUUGAACAAAAGGCGAAACUCGGAUGAACUCUCUCCAUCUCGCCCUCUCCUCGCCCGGGUUAUCUCAGCUGCGGCAACUUUAAGCCGGCGAGAUUGCCCCAACUUUCCCGCAGCUCCCUAACAGCGGGCAGCCCCCCUUUCAGGCUCCUCGGGCAGCACUUCGAGGACAGGCGAAGGUCAAAACAUGGUCGUCGGGAAAAUGGGAUGCUUGCCAAAAUUGUCGGUCUGUGCUAGGUGCCAUGCUGUGUUGUCCUUGGAAUGGUGGAAUACAACUUGGGUCUCCUCGGGGAUGGCUGACGUGGCACAAACUGUACCACGCAACUACCGAAUGCGUUCACCUUUUGGAUAUGUAUGUAAGUUAGUGGGCUACUGGAAGAAGAUGAAGAAUCUCUUGCAGAAAAGUGAGGAUAUUGUAGAAAAUGCUGCUGCAAACCAUUUGGAUUAUAUUGCCAUCCGACAUUGCGGUCCUGCAGCUAACAGAAGGAAUUUGCCAGAUCUUUCUUGUUAUGUGGUUGCUGACGCAUUUUCUUGGCACGGCAGUGGUGAUUGAUGAACACACUUUAGGGAACACUGUUCUUUUCCACUGCCUGAGACGAAUGCCCUGUGCUUCACCCCAGAUUCUUGUGUAAGGAUUAUUCUGUGGUCACGUGGGAGGCAAGUCAGAAAAAUAUACUUUUUUUUUGUUUUUUCUAUUCUUUGUGGACUGUCUUUAUUUUGCCUUAAAUUUGUAGCCUUCUGCACAAUUAUUCAUGCUGAUAUAAAACAGCAUAACCUCCUUCAUCCUUCCAAGCCACUUCCUACGGGUGGAUGCCAUUCCGUGAAGAGUGUUUUGUAGAAAUGGUGAGUUAAGGGAAUUAAGUACAUCAGAUUCUUUAGAGCAAGGCCAAUAUAAGGUAUGAAACACGGUUAAGCUGUGUUAAUGUAAUUGCUUGUGCUGGUUUCACACUGAUGGCUAGCUAAGCUUCAUUGUGCUGCUCUCUCUUACUCCCCCUCCUCAAAAGAACAGGGGAAGAAAAUAUGAUGAAAAAAGGCUCUUGGGCUGAGAUAAGGACAGGGAGAUCCCUCAUCAAUUACCAGCAUGGACAAAACAGACUCGGCAUAGGGAGAUUAAUGUAAUUUAUUGCCAAUUGGUAACAGACUAGAGAAGUGAGAAACUAAAAGCAAGCAAAGCUCCCCUCUGGCACUCUCCAGUGCUCUCUCCUCCCCCUCUUCCAUGUAGGUGCAGGGGAAUGGGGACUGGGGGCUGCGGUCAGUCCCCAACACUUCAUCUCCACCGCUCCCUCACAGUCAUUCGCUGACCCUGCUUCACGUGGGGUCCCUCCCACAGAUGCCAUCCUUCCCAAACUGAGCCUGUGGGGGCUGCCCACAUGCAGCAGCUCUUCAAGCACUGCUCCCACACGGCUCUGACCCACGGGGUCCAUCCAUCCCCCAGGAGCAAACUGCUCCAGCACGGGUCCCCCAUGAGCGGCAGCUCCCCCCAGAGGCCCUGCUCCUGCGUGGGCUCCUCUCCAUGGGCUGCAGCUCCCCCCCCCCCCCAAAAAAAAAAAAAAAUCAUUGCCAUAUAACCCUUAUACAUUGCUGUCUUAAUAAAUCAUGUGUUAGGUGACA
rnacentral:lncRNA from 1 species